UUUUUCGAGACAGGGUUUCUCUGUGUAGCUUUGCGCCUUUCCUGGAACUCACUUGGUAGCCCAGGCUGGCCUCAAACUCACAGAGAUCCGCCUGGCUCUGCCUCCUGAGUGCUGGGAUUAAAGGCGUGCGCCACCACCGCCCGGCACAGUAUAGAAUUUUGUUUUUCACAACUUCUGGAAGCCAGAAGGCUCGGCUUCCCUCUGCAUAAACCCAGACAACUAGAAUCACAGCUUCCGUAGACGCUAAAGCGAUUCUCUUCCUGCCCUUCUGUAUUUGGAGGCUUAGCCAAGCCUGUCCUUGACUCUCCUGCCUCACCCACUCGAGUGCUACAGUCACAGGAAUGAAUAUGCGACUGAACUAGCACAACACCUACACUUCUUACUGGCUUUGAAAUUCUAGCCCCAACGCCCACAGCCUGUGAAUGGGCGGAGCCUCGUCCUGGGGAAAACUCGGCAGUGGGAGGGGCCUCCUCUCGAAGAGCUUCCGGAACCUUUCGGGCAGAGGCGGAGUCUUCUGCCGAGGGCCCUUCGGAAAGAGGCGGAGCCUACCUCGCAUCAGGACCAGUCGGACUGCACCUGCAUCCUUAGCUCAGAGCAUCCCUGGAGCAUCUAAGAGGAAAGCGCAGCUAGCAACCAGGGAUCGGACUGUCGCAGGGGCAGUCUGCCAGGCACCUUCCCCUCCCCUGAUCUGGAGGUCUACGGCCGCGGCCUCGGUACUCACCGAGAUUCCCAAAGUUGUCUGACCUCUGCAAAAGUGUUGCUAUCAGCAGCCUCUGAUUACAACAUGGCUGAGAUCACAAAUAUACGCCCCAGCUUUGAUCAGAAAUUCUCGGGGCAGUCUUUGCAGGAGCACAAAGAAGAUCCUCUUCCACAGCCAGUCUACCUCCGUAUUUAGACUUGAUAACCAACAAGAUGGAAAACCCUGUUUCACAAAGAUAUAUUGUUGCAAAUGGAAGAAGUCGUCCCAACAUAGUCUCAGACAAAACAGAUAGGAUUGCAACUACUUGAUCCAGAAUUUUGUAACUGGCAUUUAAAGAACUCAGUUCUCAAUGUAUCACUGCUCAUAAAUUCAACAAUUCCUCUUGUGCUGUCUCAGAAAUGUUUUCAAGUCUGACUGUGAAUGGGUUUCUGGCAAGUGUAAAUGGAGUGUCUGCAAGCAUGUGCAAGUGUUCUUUCACAGAAAUAAUCAUUGUAAUCUUUUUUUCUGGUUAAAUGUCAUGUACCUCAAAGAAAACAGAUAAGGCAGGCAACAUGUAAAUUUUAUUUUCAUCCUUUUUUUUUUUUUUUUUUUUUUUGCCAAAGCUGAAGUUUCAUUUGGAAUGAUAUGGUAUUUUCAGUAAAAUUGAGGCACGUUGCAUUGGACCUUGCAGUGAUAAAUUUAAAUCAUUCAACAUGGCAAAGAUGAUAACCAAUUAAGCUAUUUUCUGUUUUAAUUUUAACCACUGAAAAUUGGUUAAAUUGAAUUGCCAUCUUGCUUUCUGAUUAAAAACGUUUUGAGUCCACUACACAGCUCAAAAACACGUUUUAGCCUAGCAGUGUCAGCCCACACUUGUAGUAGCAGCACUCAGGAAGCUGAGGCAGGUGAAUUUCUCUGAGUUCCAGGCCAGCCUGGUCUACAGAGUGAGUUCCAGGCCAGCCUGGUCUAUGGAGUGAGUUCCAGGUCAGCCUGGUCUACAGAGUGAGUUCCAGGCCAGCCUGGUCUACAGAGUGAGUUCCAGGCCAGCCUGGUCUACAGAGUGAGUUCCAGGCCAGCCUGGUCUAUGGAGUGAGUUCCAGGCCAGCCUGGUCUACAGAGUGAGUUCCAGGACAGUCAGGGCUACAGAGAGAAACC